rnacentral:piRNA from 1 species
UCGAGACUGCGGUACAUAGGGAAG